rnacentral:rRNA from 1 species
UACGAAGGGGGCGAGCGUUGUUCGGAAUUACUGGGCGUAAAGGGCGCGUAGGCGGCCUUCUAAGUCGAACGUGAAAUCCCCGGGCUCAACCCAGGAACUGCGUCCGAUACUGGAAGGCUUGAAUCCGGGAGAGGGAUGCGGAAUUCCAGGUGUAGCGGUGAAAUGCGUAGAUAUCUGGAGGAACACCGGUGGCGAAGGCGGCAUCCUGGACCGGCAUUGACGCUGAGGCGCGAAAGCCAGGGGAGCAAACGGG